GACGUAGGGCGCAAGCGUUGUCCGGAAUCAUUGGGCGUAAAGCGCGUGUAGGCGGCUCGAUAAGUCCGGUGUGAAACCUUGGGGCUCAACCCCAAGCCUGCACUGGAUACUGCCGAGCUAGAGUCCGGGAGGGGAGAGCGGAAUUCCUAGUGUAGCGGUGAAAUGCGCAGAUAUUAGGAAGAACACCGGUGGCGAAGGCGGCUCUCUGGAACGGUACUGACGCUGAGACGCGAAAGCGUGGGGAGCGAACAGG
rnacentral:rRNA from 1 species